rnacentral:rRNA from 1 species
UACGUAGGGUGCAAGCGUUGUCCGGAAUUAUUGGGCGUAAAGAGCGUGUAGGCGGCCAGGUAGGUCAGCUGUGAAAACUCGAGGCUCAACCUCGAGACGUCGGUUGAAACCACCUGGCUAGAGUCCGGAAGAGGAGAGUGGAAUUCCUGGUGUAGCGGUGAAAUGCGUAGAUAUUGGGAGGAACACCAGUGGCGAAGGCGGCUCACUGGACCGGAACUGACGCUGAGGCGCGAAAGCGUGGGGAGCAAACGGGG